rnacentral:rRNA from 1 species
UACGUAGGGUGCAAGCGUUGUCCGGAAUUAUUGGGCGUAAAGAGCUCGUAGGCGGUCUGUCGCGUCUGCUGUGAAAACUCAGGGCUUAACCCUGAGCUUGCAGUGGGUACGGGCAGACUAGAGUGCGGUAGGGGAGACUGGAAUUCCUGGUGUAGCGGUGAAAUGCGCAGAUAUCAGGAGGAACACCGGUGGCGAGGGCGGGUCUCUGGGCCGUAACUGACGCUGAGAAGCGAAAGCAUGGGGAGCGAACAGG